GUUUUCAGCACUACCACCCUGAACACAACUGAUGUUUUUCAUCUCAUCUCUGAAGCUAAGCUUGAUUGGGCCUGGUUAGUACUGGGGUGGGAGAUGGUCUGAGAAUGUCAAGAGCUUUUGCUAGCC
rnacentral:rRNA from 1 species